GAAACGACUGCUAAGACUGGAUAGGAAAUAGAAGGAUAACCUUUUAUUUUUAAAAGACCUUCUUCGGAAGGUAUGCUUAAAGAAGGGCUUGCGCCACAUUAGUUAGUUGGUAGGGUAAAAGCCUACCAAGACUAUGAUGUGUAGCUGGACUGAGAGGUUGAACAGCCACAUUGGGACUGAGACACGGCCCAAACUCCUACGGGAGGCAGCAGUAGGGAAUUUUCGGCAAUGGAGGAAACUCUGACCGAGCAACGCCGCGUGAACGAAGAAGUAUUUAGGUAUGUAAAGUUCUUUUAUUGAAGAAGAAAAAAUAGUGGAAAAACUAUCUUGACGCUAUUCAAUGAAUAAGCCCCGGCUAACUAUGUGCCAGCAGCCGCGGUAAGACAUAGGGGGCGAGCGUUAUCCGGAAUUAUUGGGCGUAAAGGGUGCGUAGGCGGUUAGAUAAGUCUAUAAUUUAAUUUCAGUGCUUAACGCUGUUCUGUUAUAGAAACUGUCUAGCUAGAGUGAGAUAGAGGCAAGUGGAAUUCCAUGUGUAGCGGUAAAAUGUGUAAAUAUAUGGAGGAACACCAGAAGCGUAGGCGGCUUGCUGGGUCUUUACUGACGCUGAGGCACGAAAGCGUGGGUAGCAAACAGGAUUAGAUACCCUGGUAGUCCACGCCGUAAACGAUGAGUACUAAGUGUCGGGGUUAAACUCGGUACUGAAGUUAACACAUUAAGUACUCCGCCUGAGUAGUACGUACGCAAGUAUGAAACUUAAAGGAAUUGACGGGACUCCGCACAAGCGGUGGAUCAUGUUGUUUAAUUCGAAGAUACACGAAAAACCUUACCAGGUCUUGACAUACUCUGCAAAGCUAUAGAAAUAUAGUGGAGGUUAUCAGGGAUACAGGUGGUGCAUGGUUGUCGUCAGCUCGUGUCGUGAGAUGUUAGGUUAAGUCCUAAAACGAGCGCAACCCUUGUCGUUAAUUGCCAGCACGUUAUGGUGGGGACUUUAACGAGACUGCCAAUUAAAAAUUGGAGGAAGGUGAGGAUUACGUCAAAUCAUCAUGCCCCUUAUGAUCUGGGCUACAAACGUGAUACAAUGGCUGUUACAAAGAGUAGCUGAAAUGCGAGUUUUUAGCCAAUCUCAAAAAAGCAGUCUCAGUUCGGAUUGAAGUCUGCAACUCGACUUCAUGAAGUUGGAAUCGCUAGUAAUCACGAAUCAGCAUGUCGCGGUGAAUACGUUCACGGGGUUUGUACACACCGCCCGUCA
rnacentral:rRNA from 1 species